UACGGAGGGUGCAAGCGUUGUCCGGAUUUAUUGGGUUUAAAGGGUGCGUAGGCGGCUAUUUAAGUCAGCGGUGAAAGACAUCGGCUCAACCGAUGCAGUGCCAUUGAUACUGGAUAGCUUGAGUGUUGGAGGGGUACAUGGAAUUAAUGGUGUAGCGGUGAAAUGCAUAGAUACCAUCAGGAACACCGAUAGCGAAGGCAUUGUACUGGCCAACAACUGACGCUGAGGCACGAAAGCAUGGGGAGCGAACAGG
rnacentral:rRNA from 1 species